GAUCAUGGCUCAGAUUGAACGCUGGCGGAAUGCUUUACACAUGCAAGUCGAACGGUAGAGGGGGCAACCCCUUGAGAGUGGCGAACGGGUGAGUAAUAUAUCGGAACGUGCCCAGUCGUGGGGGAUAACGUAGCGAAAGUUACGCUAAUACCGCAUACGAUCUAAGGAUGAAAGCGGGGGACCGUAAGGCCUCGCGCGAUUAGAGCGGCCGAUAUCAGAUUAGGUAGUUGGUGGGGUAAAGGCUCACCAAGCCAACGAUCUGUAGCUGGUCUGAGAGGACGACCAGCCACACUGGAACUGAGACACGGUCCAGACUCCUACGGGAGGCAGCAGUGGGGAAUUUUGGACAAUGGACGCAAGUCUGAUCCAGCCAUUCCGCGUGCAGGAUGAAGGCCCUCGGGUUGUAAACUGCUUUUGUACGGAACGAAAAGGUUUCUAUUAAUACUAGGAGCUCAUGACGGUACCGUAAGAAUAAGCACCGGCUAACUACGUG
rnacentral:rRNA from 1 species